AUGCCCUACAAUUUCUCCAAUAACCAAACUACAAUCUUCUACGGUGGCAGUCGAUGCAAUUUUGAUUCCAUGACGCCUCAUGACACCAGAGCGAAUGUCAUAACACCUCUUGAAUCAACCAAGAAUGUUAUGAAGGGUGACAGUGUCACAUUCUCCUGUAACUACAGUGGAUCUAUAAGUGCACUACACUGGUAUCGUCAGUAUCCCAGAUCUAAACCUGAGUUCCUCCUAUUCAUAACGGAAUCUAACGGCACUGGAGAAGUUCCCUCACGCAUGUCUUCUCACACCACCAAAGACACCAAGCAUGUGUUCCUGGAGAUCUCCUCUGUUGAAGUCUCUGACUCGGGUCUCUACUACUGCGCCCUGCAGCCCACAGUAACAGGAAAUACACAGGUGCGGUACAAAAACCUCAUCAGUACAUGA